UCGGAAGUUUUCCAAAUCCGAACACAACCUUCAGCUCAGCGCCAACCAGGGAGUGCCGGAGGAUUUAACCCUUGACUCUUCUGGAGCUCCUCUUGUUGAACUGCUUAAAGAUAUAAAAAUUCUAUUACGGAUUACAGGUCAAGUAGAAAGAAGAAUAAAAGCUUUAAUGAAGUAAAAGACUUAAAAGAAAGACUAUGUGCUCUGCCUUGCCGAAAUCGAAAGAUGUGUCUACAGUCCAACGACCCGCAUGUUCUCGGCAUGGAGCUGAAAAUUCGGCUCGCCAUGCACUCCCCGGUACUGCAGGAAAUCUCGCUCGGUAGUGACGGCGUACGUGUACAAUCUCUAGGUCCAUCUCACCGGCACGUGCCCGUUUACGAUAUCAAUGCCGAACAGGAUCCUGAACUCAUUUGCGAGGUUAAAGUUAAGAGAAAACGUUGAAUUUCAUGUAAAUUUGAAACAUGCAAAGGAUCACUACUUUAAAUUAAUGGUAUUUGAACAUAAAUAAAGCAUUGACU